ensembl:lncRNA
GAAACACAGAGGUAAUAGGACCAGGAUUCAAAGUCACUCUAAUAACCACUAUACUUUAAUGGGAGAUGGAAUGAUCAAAAUCUUGGUGCCUACUAUAUUUUAUUCCAAUGUUUGUAAAUGAACUAUAAUAGAAAGACUCCAUUCUUGUAUGAGAACCACCUAAUGCAAGUAUCCAGAAUAAAACCUGCAAACCAAGAAUGAAGAAAACAAGGACUUCGUCUUCUUCCCCAGCCCUCACCAGAACAGGAACAAAGAUCCCAAUACACUGCUGACCUAAGGGCCAAGACCAGAGCCUCCUGCACAUGCCUGAAGAGCCAAUUAUUUCCGCUCUCAGACGGAAAAGACUUGGCACUAAGGAGAGGGCAGAGAGAAGGGAGAAUGUACUGAGAAAGUAAGAACUGAUAGAAGGAAUAUAGAGCCUUCAAAGUGUGGAAGAGAAAGAGGAUCUUUUGUUAGAAAGUUCUUUUUUUUUUUUAAAGAGUGGGACCUGAGCUAACAACUGUUGCCAAUCUUUUUUUUUUUUUUCUUUCUGCUUUUUCUCCUCAGAUCCUCCCAGUACAUAGUUGUAUAUUUUAGUUGUGGCACGUGGGAUGCCGCCUCAGCAUGGCCUGAUGAGUGGUGCCAUGUCCAAGUCCAGGAUCACGAACCAGCAAAACCCAGGGCUGCUGCCCCGGAGCACGCGAACUUAACCACUCGGCCACAGGGCUCACCCCUCUUAGAAAGUUCUAAUGGAAGGAAUUCAAGAAGAUGAGCCAUCCUCAAGUGUGGACCACUCUUCCUUUAAAAUUAAAUCAAAAACCAAAACCUAUGACCAGUUUGUCAUUUAGCAGUCCUGGAUGCAUGUCGGCCUGGAAAGAGAGAAAGGGGAGCUUGUACAUUCUGGAGGGAAUGGAAGCAUGAAGAAGACCCUCAUUCCCUCAACCAGGUGGAACUAGACAGAAACAAUUGGGAAUUUUUCUAUGAUUGAAGUGGUGGUGGAACCCAUGCUACUGCUACAUAUUCUAUUAACAUGCCUGUAGGAGGUUAGCAAUUUGGAGAUUUGGAGGAAAAUAAUUAGAUGGUCAUAUCAUAGAACUUAGAGAAGUAUCCACCUUCUAGUCCAAAAGGAAAAGACAUCAUCAUCACACUUUCUUCUCUUUCUUUUUAAUCUUGUUUUCAGGUGUCCAGAUAUUAAGAUUUGAGUUAGUAUCACAGGACCAGUCACCAAGUAGUCAUUAAAUCAUUCAUCAAUGGUAUAAUUUAAUUGAGAGGUUAAUAAAGAUUGAGACACUUCCAGCCAUUGCCAAUGAAAAUUGAUGCUUUACACAUAUGCAUAUAAUCUUGAAUAAAUAUGUGAAAUUCAUAUUAUUCUGUUAGUAAAAUAGGGCCUCUUUCAAGUGAAGGCUCAAUGAUUACUCUAACUUCCUAUUCAUUCACUCAUGUAUUCAUUCAGUAAGUAAUAGAAUGCACAACUCUUAUAUGCACCCUUUUUAAUAGCCAUACAGAGGCUUAAAAAUGUGUGUAAGACAUGAUCGCUACCUUCAAUGACAUUACGGGUGUUCAAAGAGAUAAAAUAUUUGGAGGAGGAAAAACUAGCUAGAGUGAUCAGGGAAGACUUCUUGGAGUUAGUAGCAUUUGAACUGAGCUUUGAAAGUUGGGAAGAUUCUAAUAAAUGCCAGGGAAAGAUCCUGAAUAGAGGAAAUCUCAUAAAGGCUAAUAGAGUGAUUCCAAUAUUAUUAAUUAGGAAUUAUUGAGAAAUCUGCAAAGUUAAUGUUUUAUCUCUGGUGAUGAUCUCUGUAAAUCUUUC